UGCAGUCGCACGAGAAGUUCCCUUCGGGGAGCGAGUAGAGUGGCGCACGGGUGCGUAACACGUAACUAACGUACCCCUUCGCUGGGGAUAACUCCGGGAAACCGGAGCUAAUACCGAAUGAUCUGACGUUGUCUGCGGGCAAUGUCGGUAAAGCCGUAAGGCGCGAAGGGAUCGGGUUGCGGUCCAUUAGCUUGUUGGUAGGGUAAUGGCCUACCAAGGCGACGAUGGAUAGCUGGUCUGAGAGGAUGAUCAGCCACACUGGAACUGAAACACGGUCCAGACUCCCACGGGAGGCAGCAGUUGGGAAUAUUGGACAAUGGGCGAAAGCCUGAUCCAGCAAUCCCGCGUGAGUGAUGAAGGCCUUCGGGUCGUAAAGCUCUUUCAGGGGGGAAGAAUAAACUGACGGUACCCCCAGAAGAAGCACCGGCUAACUACGUGCCAGCAGCCGCGGGUAAUACG
rnacentral:rRNA from 1 species